rnacentral:rRNA from 1 species
GAUGGCUCUGAUUUGCUUAUUGCACCACAUGUGUUUUUCUUUGAAACAAACUUGCUUUGGCGGUGGGCCCAGCCUGCCGCCAGAGGUCUAAACUUGCAACCAAUUUUUUAUCAACUUGUCACACCAGAUUAUUACUAAUAGUCAAAACUUUCAACAACGGAUCUCUUGGUUCUCGCAUCGAUGAAGAACGCAGCGAAAUGCGAUACGUAAUAUGAAUUGCAGAUAUUCGUGAAUCAUCGAAUUUUUGAACGCACAUUGCGCCCUCUGGUAUUCCGGAGGGCAUGCCUGUUUGAGCGUCGUUUCUCCCUCAAACCGCUGGGUUUGGUGUUGAGCAAUACGACUUGGGUUUGCUUGAAAGACGGUAGUGGUAAGGCGGGAUCGCUUUGACAAUGGCUUAGGUCUAACCAAAAACAUUGCUUGCGGCGGUAACGUCUACCACGUAUAUCUUCAAACUUUGACCUCAAAUCAGGUAGGACUACCCGCUGAACUUAAGCAUAUCAAUAAGCGGAGGAA